rnacentral:rRNA from 1 species
UACGAAGGGGGCUAGCGUUGUUCGGAAUUACUGGGCGUAAAGCGCACGUAGGCGGAUUGGUCAGUUAGGGGUGAAAUCCCGGGGCUCAACCCCGGAACUGCCUUUAAUACUGCCAAUCUAGAGUCCGAGAGAGGUGAGUGGAAUUCCGAGUGUAGAGGUGAAAUUCGUAGAUAUUCGGAGGAACACCAGUGGCGAAGGCGGCUCACUGGCUCGGUACUGACGCUGAGGUGCGAAAGCGUGGGGAGCAAACAGGAUUAGAAACCCUCGUAGUCC